rnacentral:lncRNA from 1 species
GGGAUGCAACGAAAUACACGAAACUAUGUUUAUGGAGUCGUUCCUAACGACGCACAAAAUCUUUUGUAGUUCAAAGUCCGGAUACAACGAAAUACACAAAAGUAGGUUUAUGGAAACCUUCAAACAAACCAAUAACUAUGUUGUAGUUCCAAAGUCCGGUUACAACGAAAUACAGGAAACUAGGUUUAUGGAAUCAAAUAUAAAUAAGCACUAACAGAGUUUUAGUUCCAAAGUCCGUAUACUACGAAAUACACAAAACUAGGUUUAUGGAAUCGUUCAUAACGACCCACUAACUCUCUUGUAGUUUAAGAUCCGGAUAUAUCGAAAUACACAAAACUAGGUUUUUGGAAUCGUUCAUAACGACCCACUAACUCUCUUGUAGUUUAAAAUCCGGAUAUAUCGAAAUACACAAAACUAGGUUUUUGGAAUCGUUUAUAACAACCCAAUAACACUGUUGUAGUUCCAAAGUCCAUAUACAACGAAAUACACAAAACCAGGUUUAUGGAAAAUUUCAAACAACUCAAUAACUCUGUUGUAGUUCCAACGUCAGGAUACAUCGAAAUACAAGGAACUAGGUUUAUGGAAUUUUACAUAAAUAAGAACUAAUUGUGUUUCAC